UACGUAGGGUGCGAGCGUUGUCCGGAAUUAUUGGGCGUAAAGAGCCCGUAGGCGGCUUGUCGCGUCGGAUGUGAAAGCCCGGGGCUUAACUCCGGGUCUGCAUUCGAUACGGGCAGGCUAGAGUUCGGUAGGGGAGAUCGGAAUUCCUGGUGUAGCGGUGAAAUGCGCAGAUAUCAGGAGGAACACCGGUGGCGAAGGCGGAUCUCUGGGCCGAUACUGACGCUGAGGAGCGAAAGCGUGGGGAGCGAACAGG
rnacentral:rRNA from 1 species